GCAGCAGUGGGGAAUCUUGCACAAAUGGCCCAAGCGUAAUGCAGCCAUACCGCGUGUGUGAUGAAGGCCUUAGGGUUGUAAAGCACUUUCAGUCGGGAGGUAAGGGUACUAAUUAGUACGUGAUAGCUCUGACAUUACUGACUGAAGAAGCACCGGCUAACUCCGUGCCAGCAGCCGCGGUAAUACGGAGGGGGUGAGCGUUAUUCGGAAUUACUGGGCGUAAAGCGUACGCAGGCGGUUUGUUAAGCGAGAUGUGAAAUCCCCGGGCUCAACCUGGGAACUGCAUUUAAAACUGUCAAUCUAGAGUUUGAUAGAGGGGAGUAGAAUUUCAGGUGUAGCGGUGAAAUUCGUAGAUAUUUGAAGGAACACCGAUGGCGAAGGCGGCCCCCUGGCUCAACACUGACGCUCAUGUACGAAAGCGUGGGGAGCAAACAGGAUUAGAUACCCUGGUAGUCCACGCCGUAAACGAUGUCUACCAGAAGUUCGGAACCUCUUUUCUGUUUUUCACAGCUAACGCAUUAAGUAGAUCGCCAGUCGAUAAAGUCACAGGGUUAAAACUC
rnacentral:rRNA from 1 species